GACGAACGCUGGCGGCGUGCUUAACACAUGCAAGUCGAACGGAAAGGCUCCAGCUUGCUGGAGUACUCGAGUGGCGAACGGGUGAGUAACACGUGGGUAAUCUGCCCUGCACUCUGGGAUAAGCCUGGGAAACUGGGUCUAAUACUAGAUAUGACCUUUCUCCUUAUGGGGUUUGGUGGAAAGUUUUUCGGUGUAGGAUGAGCCCGCGGCCUAUCAGCUUGUUGGUGGGGUGAUGGCCUACCAAGGCGACGACGGGUAGCCGGCCUGAGAGGGUGAUCGGCCACAUUGGGACUGAGAUACGGCCCAGACUCCUACGGGAGGCAGCAGUGGGGAAUAUUGCACAAUGGGCGGAAGCCUGAUGCAGCGACGCCGCGUGAGGGAUGACGGCCUUCGGGUUGUAAACCUCUUUCAGCAGGGACGAAGCGUAAGUGACGGUACCUGCAGAAGAAGCACCGGCUAACUAUGUG
rnacentral:rRNA from 1 species